rnacentral:misc_RNA from 1 species
GAUGAAGAACGUAGCGAAAUGCGAUAAGUAAUGUGAAUUGCAGAAUUCAGUGAAUCAUCGAAUCUUUGAACGCACAUUGCGCCCGCCAGUAUUCUGGCGGGCAUGCCUGUCCGAGCGUCAUUUCAACCCUCGAACCCCUCCGGGGGGUCGGCGUUGGGGAUCGGCCCUUUCACCGGGUGCCGGCCCCUAAAUACAGUGGCGGUCUCGCCGCAGCCUCUCAUGCGCAGUAGUUUGCACACUCGCACCGGGAGCGCGGCGCGUCCACGUCCGUAAAACACCCCAACUUCUGAAAUGUUGACCUCGGAUCAGGUAGGAAUACCCGCUAAACUUAAGCAUAUCAAUAAGCGGAGGA